CAGGAACCGACUUUGGUAGAAGAGACUCGAAGACUUUUGAGUAUCUUCCGGACGCUCUGGAGACCAUCUCCGGUGGAAGAUGCGCGGUGUACACAUUUUACAGAUGCAAAAUUCUUGCUCUGCUCACAACGCCUUGAGGAUCCUGGAAGACCUGCCUAGCCUCUUCACUUUUCCCUUUAUCCUGUCCCCCUAAGCCUCCCCAUUCAGCCUUUGUCAGAGCUACUACACACUUGCUUCUCUGCUGUUCCUGGAAAGUGCACCAUGUACCUGCCUCCUGCCUUGGGCUCUUCUGGGGGCAGCUGCCAGGACAUCUCUUCCUCCACCGGAGAGUGUGGAUCUUGC
rnacentral:lncRNA from 1 species